rnacentral:rRNA from 1 species
AGCGAACGCUAGCGGCGGGCUUAACACAUGCAAGUCGAGCGCGUGGCUUCGGCCACGAGGGCGAACGGGUGAGUAACACGUAGGUCAUCUGCCCUUUGGUGGGGAAUAACCCGAGGAAACUCGGGCUAAUACCGCAUACUGCCUUCGGGUCAAAGGCUUCGGCCGCCAGAGGAUGAGCCUGCGUCGCAUUACCUAGUUGGUGGGGUAACGGCCCACCAAGGCGACGAUCGGUAGCUGGUCUGAGAGGAUGGUCAGCCACACGGGGACUGAGACACGGUCCAGACUCCUACGGGAGGCAGCAGUGGGGAAUCUUGCGCAAUGGGCGAAAGCCUGACGCAGCGACGCCGCGUGAGUGAUGAAGGCCUUCGGGUUGUAAAGCUCUGUGGGAGGAGACGAAUAAGUCGUGGUGAAUAUCCACGAUGAUGACGGUAUCCUUUUAGCAAGCACCGGCUAACUCUGUG